UGGUGGGGUAACGGCCUACCAAGCCUAAGAUCCGUACGGGCCAUGGGAGUGGGAGCCCGGAGAUGGACCCUGAGACAAGGGUCCAGGCCCUACGGGGCGCAGCAGGCGCGAAACCUCCGCAAUGCGGGAAACCGCGACGGGGUCAGCCGGAGUGCCGAUGCUUGCAUCGGCUGUCGGGGAGCCUAAAAAGCUCCCCAUAGCAAGGGCCGGGCAAGGCCGGUGGCAGCCGCCGCGGUAAUACCGGCGGCCCGAGUGGCGGUCACUAUUAUUGGGCUUAAAGCGUCCGUAGCCGGGUUGGGAAGUCCUCCGGGAAAUCUGGCCGCUUAACGGUCAGAAUGCCGGAGGAUACUCCCAGCCUAGGGAGCGGGAGAGGCCGAGGGUAUUCCCGGAGUAGGGGUGAAAUCCUAUAAUCCCGGGAGGACCGCCUGUGGCGAAGGCGCUCGGCUGGAACGCGUCCGACGGUGAGGGACGAAGGCCAGGGGAGCAAACCGGAUUAGAU
rnacentral:rRNA from 1 species